AAGACAGCUUGGAAGGGAUUGUUCGAGGAUGUGGGAUUUGGUCUUAGAAGACCGAAGGAUAAAUGUUUCGAGACAAGGAGUGGAUCAGGCCAGAUAAGUAUGGCCAUUUCUCUCAGGAGUUCUGGAAUUUCUGUGAAGUGCCUGUCGAAGCUGUGGAUGCCAGUGACUGUGACAUCAACUACGAGGGCCUGGACAACCUCCUCCGCCUGAAGGAGCUCCAGUCCUUGUCGCUGCAGCGCUGCUCCCACGUGGACGACUGGUGUCUCAGCCGCCUCUACCCACUGGCCGACUCGUUGCAGGAGCUCUCGCUGGCCGGUUGCCCCCGCGUCUCCGAACGGGGCCUCGCCUGCCUCCACCACCUCCAGUGAGACCUCAGCUCAGGCUGGGCCCCGUACCCAGGCACCUCUCCCACCUAACCCAGAUGCAGGAGAGGAAGUGGGGAGGGGCAAUGUUGGGCAGUUCUCAUAUCCCCCUGCAUCCAUCACAAACCUAGAGUAUUUAUGGUAGAUGAGCAGUCACAGUGAGUCUCUGGAAGAAUUAAAUGACUCCUGGUUUUUCUUCCUUUUUGUUUUAGUCAAAACCCUGUGAUAUCGACGCUGUUGCAGAACAGCAGGAGCUGGAGUUGCAUAUUUGCAAUUAACACAGUGGGCUUCAUGUGCCUGGACAGCUAUAAAGAUUUUAUUUUAGGAAGCUAAGGUUGAAAUUUGGGGCCAGUACCUCCCUACACACACACGCACACACACACUGUCCUGUAAGGUUGAAAUUUGGGGCCAGUACCUCCCUAUACACACACACACAUACACACACACACACGCACGCACACACACACACUGUCCUGUAAGGUUGAAAUUUGGGGCCAGUACCUCCCUAGACACACACACACACACACACACACACACACACUGUCCUGUACCUCCCUACACACACACAUACACACACGCACACGCUGUCCUGUACCUCCCUACACACACACAUACACACACGCACACGCUGUCCUGUACCUCCCUACACACACACACACACACACGCUGUCCUUACACUGGCUUACCUCCCUGUACACACACACACACAUGCACGCACACACUGUCCUGUACCUCCCUAUACACACACACGCUGUCCUUACACUGGCUUACCUCCCUAUACACACACACACACACGCACACGCUGUCCUGUACCUCCCUACACACACACACAUGCUGUCCUUACACUGGCUUCCUGUCCUUCUCACCCCUUUUCAGGAACCUCCGCAGGCUGGACAUCUCGGACCUCCCUGCCGUGUCCAACCCUGGCCUCACUCAAAUCUUGGUGGAGGAGAUGCUGCCCAAUUGCGAGGUUGUGGGGGUCGACUGGGCCGAGGGCCUGAAGUCGGGGCCGGAGGAGCAGCCUCAGGACACAGCCAGCCCUGUCCCUGCCUAGCCUUCAGCCCUGUCCCCACUCACGUGGCUUCUCAGCGGGCUGCAUAGAAUGUCUGGUAGCUCACCACACUUCUGGCUUCCAUUUGUCUUCACUCAAUGUCAGGGUGGGGGAGUGGUGCUGGCCAAUCACAGGAGAGAGCAUGAGUUCCCAGUAUUUAUUCCUGGCUGCCCUUGGCUAAAGGUCACAGCUCCUGUCACCCUGUCAGGCAGCCCUUUCCAUGCCCCUGUUCAGGCCUGGGGAGGUAAAGGCUCAGGCUGUUAGUAGCCGCAGAGAGCCACGCUCACCUUGUCAAGAGACUCUUCUCAAACUGUCGUUAUGUGAGUGCACUGCCAUUUCUUGUAGGGACCCUGACUGACACAGGGGCUACUACUGACACUUUACAGGGAUGGUUCUCCCCCGUGCAGGGCCGCUGUGCCCACUGCAGGACAUGCAGCAUCCUUCGCCCCACUCCACUCACUAAAGGCCAGCGCACCCCAGGCCCCAUGGUAUUGCUGGUUAUGGAUUUAUUGACUUUACGUUCCAAAUUCAGCUUUUUCAGUUGGCUGUUUUUUGAAAGGGCAUAAGCUUUGUCAGUAGAGGGCACCAAACAGGCAUUAUAGGAGGAAAGGCGCCUCCUUCGUGGUUCUUGUUGGUUGUGCUUCUGCCUCUGGACGCCGCAGUGCAUGUGGCUUCCCCAGCACCCAGCUCCUGAAGCACCAGGCGGUCAGCAGCUGCCCUUGGCACCCUCCAGCCCUCAGAAGUUGCGUAGGAGACACAGCGCCUCCACUGAGGCACCUCUCUGGGAAUAACGUUCCCCAGCACCUCAAAUGGAUUUCCAGUCAAUUCAGAAGCAUUUUACCAGUGAAGCCCUCAUUAUUCCAGUUCACUGUUUAAAGCCAGUAAUUCUCUAUAUUAAACUUUCCCUGUUCAAGUU
rnacentral:sRNA from 1 species